rnacentral:misc_RNA from 1 species
UCCAGUUAAUCACCGGCAGUCUCUCUAGAGUGCCCAGCAUUACCUGAUGGCAACUAAAGAUAAAGGUUGCGCUCGUUGCGGGACUUAACCCAACACUUCACAGCACGAGCUGACGACAGCCAUGCAGCACCUGUGUAAUUGUCCCUUGCGGGAAAAUGAACUUUCAUUCACAGUCAACUACAUGUCAAGCCUGGGUAAGGUUCUUCGCGUAGCCUCGAAUUAAACCACAUGCUCCACCGCUUGUGCGGGUCCCCGUCAAUUUCUUUGAGUUUCAGUCUUGCGACCGUACUCCCCAGGUGGUGGAUUUAAUGCGUUAGCGUCGGCACCAGAGGGAUCGACACCCCUGACACCUAAUCCACAUCGUUUACGGCAAGGACUAC